GAUGAACGCUGGCGGCGUGCCUAAUACAUGCAAGUAGAACGCUGAAGCUUGGUGCUUGCCCCGAGCGGAUGAGUUGCGAACGGGUGAGUAACGCGUAGGUAACCUGCCUCUUAGCGGGGGAUAACUAUUGGAAACGAUAGCUAAUACCGCAUAAAAGUCGACAUCGCAUGAUGUUGACUUGAAAGGUGCAAUUGCAUCACUAAGAGAUGGACCUGCGUUGUAUUAGCUAGUUGGUGAGGUAACGGCUCACCAAGGCGACGAUACAUAGCCGACCUGAGAGGGUGAUCGGCCACACUGGGACUGAGACACGGCCCAGACUCCUACGGGAGGCAGCAGUAGGGAAUCUUCGGCAAUGGGGGCAACCCUGACCGAGCAACGCCGCGUGAGUGAAGAAGGUGUUCGGAUCGGAAAGCUCUGUUGUAAGAGAAGAACGAGUGUGAGAGUGGAAAGUUCACACUGUGACGGUAACUUACCAGAAAGGGACGGCUAACUACGG
rnacentral:rRNA from 1 species